UGAGGAAUAUUGGUCAAUGGGCGCAAGCCUGAACCAGCCAUCCCGCGUGCAGGAAGACGGCCCUCUGGGUUGUAAACUGCUUUUCCAGGGGGAGAAACUUGCGCACGUGUUGCGCAAUUGACGGUACCCUGGGAAUAAGCAUCGGCUAACUCCGUGCCAGCAGCCGCGGUAAUACGGAGGAUGCGAGCGUUAUCCGGAUUCAUUGGGUUUAAAGGGUGCGUAGGCGGACUAUUAAGUCAGUGGUGAAAUCCUGCAGCUUAACUGCAGAACUG
rnacentral:rRNA from 1 species